rnacentral:rRNA from 1 species
UACGUAGGGGGCAAGCGUUGUCCGGAAUCAUUGGGCGUAAAGAGCGUGUAGGCGCCAGAAAAGUCCGCUGUGAAAACUCGAGGCUUAACCUCGAGAUGUCAUCGGAAACCAUCUGGCUAGAGUCCGGAAGAGGAGAGUGGAAUUCCUGGUGUAGCGGUGAAAUGCGCAGAUAUCAGGAGGAACACCUAUGGCGAAGGCAGCUCGCUGGGACGUUACUGACGCUGAGACGCGAAAGCGUGGGGAGCAAACAGG